rnacentral:misc_RNA from 1 species
AUUGUGUUGCCCCCAUACAUGUAUUCGGGGCGAAGCUUGGCCUCCCGUGAGCCCAAACUCGCGGAUGGCUUAAAAACGAACCUCGAGACGGUUAGACGUCGCGACAAGUGGUGGUUACGAGGCCUUGUGCCUUUGAGCUUUGCGUGUCGCUGCCGUCGUCUGUCUCUCUCGAAAUUAAAACCCGAAUGGAGCAUCCUCGAUGUUUCCAGCAUCGCGACCCCAGGUCAGGCGGGAAUACCCGCUGAGUUUAAGCAUAUCAAUAA